rnacentral:rRNA from 1 species
UAAGGAAUCUUCCGCAAUGGGCGCAAGCCUGACGGAGCGACGCCGCGUGCAUGAUGACGCUCUUCGGAGUGUAAAAUGCUUUUCUGCGAGACGAUGCAAGACGGUAUCGCAGGAAGAAGCCUCGGCUAACUACGUGCCAGCAGCCGCGGUAAUACGUAGGAGGCGAGCGUUGUCCGGAAUCACUGGGUGUAAAGCGCGUGUAGGCGGCCUGUCAAGUCUGCUGUGAAAGCGCCUGGCUUAACCGGGCGAGGUCGGUGGAAACUGGCGGGCUGGAGGCCGGUAGAGGGGGGUGGAAUUCCCGGUGUAGUGGUGAAAUGCGUAGAGAUCGGGAGGAACACCAGUGGCGAAGGCGGCCCCCUGGGCCGCGCCUGACGCUGAGACGCGAAAGCGCGGGGAGCGAAUGG